UGAAAUCGUACAUGCCGUACAUGUGAAAUGCUCUCAAGCGCCGAGGAGGCACCUAUCUUUAAGAAACCCGAUGUGCCAAACAUCUCCCCCGGCCACGCCGCCGUCCCCGACGAAGCCCCGCACCAUCCAGUUCUUGUCCUUCUCCCUUGCCUCCUCUCCCUGCGGGACGCCACCGUAGCCGAGCCCAAGCCGAGGCGGUAGGGCGGGAUCUGCGCGGGAGACGGGUGGAAGCUCCUCGCGGGCACCGUACGGUUGAGUCGGCAGCUUUGUGCUUGGUGCAAGCAGGGCUGCGCAAGGGGUGGCCUUGGAGGACCUGGGACGCAUUGCGUAACUGGAGCACAAGGAGGGUGCAGCUCGGGUCGUCGCCAGCGUGGCCGACAUUCCCGUCGAGGGCUCCGCUGGCCCAUUUUCUCCUCCGACCAUCACCGAUGCUACUGUAGAUCCGGCAUCUAUGUACCCGCUGUCCAGGUACAUCCGCUUUGACCCUAACAUCUCUCUCCCUCGCAUGGUGUAUCAGUGAAAUAAGGUCGAAAUCGUUAAAUUGUCUUUCCCUUUUGUAAAUCCUUCUAUACUCCACACAUUCCUUCCAAUUUCCUCUGCAGCUUCUUCAGGUUCUGUAUCAAUUAUCUAGGUGCAAACUUCUUGCAGUUUAGUUAGCCUAAUUGAUUGAAUUAGAAUAUCCAGAGAUCAUUUAUUUUAUUUUGCAGAUUUGCCUUGCAGGUUGCUCAAGGAAUGCUACAUUUUUGUAUCAAGCCACUGUUGUUACUUGUUAGAAUGUACAAUGGUUUUCAGCACAAGAAUGAAGAAAAAUUAUGCUGAUAUAAAAGAAUCUGAACUAGACAUAUAGUUAUUGUAAUCUGUCCCUUGGUUGUAUUAAACUGGGUCUGGGUCUCUAUUUCCUCAUUUUUUUAAAAACAAAACUACACAGAAACAAUAGUAAUUGUUGUGGUUUCAUAUCAUGCAAAAUUCGUCUUCACCUAUAGAAAUUCUAAAGGAAAGUACAGACACAGUACAGCCUGAAAGGCAUGAGUUUUUGUGCGUCCAGGUAAGUGUUCCCAUGCCUGAAGAACUAAGUUCAGCUGCAUCACAAGAUUGAAAGAUCAGUUCAACUCUGGCUGGCCAGUUCUUGAAAUCUUUGAGUUUUUCCUGUUGCUCACUAAGUCUAUUUAAAAUACCAAUUGAUGCUCUUAUGUAAAGUAUCAACAUUGUUUAUGUGAUAUUUGAUUUCAAACAUUAUACGGAAAGAUUUGUCCAGCUAUGCAUUUGAUGUGCUGAAUUAGUCACUAUUUGAGGCAUUAACACAUACAUAAUAACCUCUGCUUAAACUUUGUUAAGUAGUAGCAUGUCUGCUUAUCUAAAGCAAUCUUAGGAUACAGACUCAUUAUUUUCCAGUUUUGUGUAGUUUCGUAAGAGAUUUUAGUUUCAGCAUGCAGACUCAUUAUUUUUCACUUUGGUGCAGGUUCACAAUAGAUUUUCUUUCGAUAUGAACUACUGGAAUAUUACUAACCAACUUGAAUAUGGUACGAGUUACAAAUGAUGCCCCUCUCCAUCCGAUGUCCCUGCACACCAUUGUUACUAUUUUGUAUUUCAGCAAGAAAUCGAUUGUACUUCUGUAGACUUUUUAAAUUCACCGAUGAAUUCUGACAAAGUUCCUGAGGAGCUUUAGAUCAUGGAAAGACAAAAGCUGAGGAGCCAAGGAGCUCUGCUAAGACAUGUGCUCCCAGUUCUGAUUGGAAUUAUGCUUAGAAGCUACAAGUAGAAUCAGACUUCUGGAAUUAGCCUCUUCGAUCCAGUUCAGACAUUAAUUAGGCCGCCUCAUAGGAUUUGGAUUGUGGAUAGCAUAUCCACAAGCACAACUGAUAUAUUUGGAGUCUGAACUAUGGUUUCAUGUGCUAUGAAAAACAGUGGACACAAUAUUAGAUUUGGAGAUAAAUUGCUUCUGAUGAAAGAGGACAUAAGCAUCUAAGCAAAUUGUCCUUCUGCAAAGGCUGCCAUGCAGGGUGUUGCAUUACCUAAAGACCUGCACAAAAAGUUGGAAAUCAACACUGCUAGUUGUGCAACAUGGAUCAUCGUAAGAAUUCCUUUAUCAUGAUUUAAAGAAACUCACAUUGCACCAGUCAUUAUAGCAAACAAGAUGUUGAUGACGUCUCCUCCUGAGUAACCUUUGCUAAGAAUCAACUUGCCGCCGUACCAUAUGGCUAAUCCAUAGCUUGAGAAAAAUAUAAAGAAAACAGAACCCAUGCCAAAACCAUUUGUAAUUCCUUCCUCAACAGCUGCCUUAUAUGCCUUGUGUAUGAGUUUAUUGUAGGUUGCAAUAGCCUGCUUCUCACCGUUGAAGGAGACCACCUGUUUUGCAGAUGUAGCCACAGGAAAACUGGUGAGUGCAUGCCACAUUGAAACAAAAUGUAGAGGUUUCUCCUUCACAAUUCAAUCUCUGAGUGCAUUGAACUCACUGUCUUAAUGUUACCAAGCGUCUGUUCAACUACAUUCCCUGCAUCGCCAUAUGAUGUUUGCCCCUUGCUAGAGAUUCUAGAGAGCAUUUUUGAGACAAUUCCUCCAGCAACGACAACGGGAGGUAUGCUUGCCAACAUGACAAGAGAUAAAAGCCAUCCUUUUACGAAUGCUAUUACAAAGCCACCUAUGAAGGUAGCAAUAAGUUGUUGGAACUUGCCGACCUGUAGAGUUUUGUAAGAGUUAGAUUGUGGAAGUUUUGAUAUAAUAAGCUGGUGAGGCAACAGAAAGUUUGAUUUUGCGGUCUUCAUUUUCAUAGCGGGGAGCUAUUACCUUUUCACCAAUGGCAUCCUGAACCAACACGGUAUCUCCAGACAUCCUUGAAACAAUUUGCCCAGUUGUCAUUUCUACAUCAAAGAAUGCUAUUUCUUGCCUCAAGACAGAUUUGAGGUACAGAGAUCGAAUGUGUGUUGCCUGUCUUUCUCCUGUCAUUGUCCAGCAUGACACCUCUGCACAAACAACGCAAUGGAUUCAAUUCUAUUGGUAAAAACACCAUAUAAAUGCCUUAAACAUGUAGUAGAACUCUGUUUCAGAUUUUUCUAAAUUUAGUUUGCUGAUGAAGCAAUGUUUUAAUCAUACACUUUUCUUGUAUCUCUUUCCGUGGAAGUUCAAAACACGUUGGUUAUGUAACCACUAUUAUGAACUGCUGAGCACAAACUUUCUAUACCCUUCUUUGAAAGUAUAUAACAAAGUUAAAGUUGGACUC